ensembl:lncRNA
CUUUCACAGCUCGAGGAACACCGAGCUGCCACCGCGUGGACCUGCACAGGUGGCCGCACUUCGUGCAACAGCAGGAAACCUCUCCUGAAGGGUCUGGCCUCAGGGCAGCGAAAGCAGCUACGGAAACGGGAGUUCGGAAGACCCUCCCACCCCAAAUCCCCCUUGUCCACCCUCGCUGCCCCGCGCAGCCCAGCCCUGCCAGCAGCCGCUGAUGGGCACGUCGCAACCCGCGCCUUUGCCAGGGCUGAAUCACCCUGCGCUUGGAGAGCUUCUCCCACCGUCUUUCCAAAAUCUCUGUUAGUGUAAUUUCUUCUCUGUCCCCAAAGGGCACGAAGAGCAGUUUAUUGUUGUACACUGUGGCAGUCUGUUAUAUACUGAAAGCUUUAUUCACCUCCCUUGCUUCCCUCUGCAUUUGGCAGCGCCAGUCCGCCCAGCUUGUCCCCGUGGGUCACAACACCGAGCUCCACCAUCCCUGCUGGCACGGCACAUCCACACAUCUCCCAUAGCCUCCAUGUCCCACACUGCUCCCAUAGGAGGCUGCCACUGUUGACUCAUGUACCCCAAUGGCUGAGUUUUUGCCCUAAAGAAACAGAGUUUGUCCCAGGCACGGUGCCAGCUCCCUGCUGCAUCCUGGAUCUCAUAAGAACAAGAUGCUUCCUACUGUCCGCAUUCCCAUGGGUACACUUUCUGGGCAAAAGUGAAGAAAAAACAGCAGUUAAGCCAAUGCGUUUCCUCCUUGGCCAGCCUGAUCCACCUCCUGGGGCCAACGGAGGCUAUGAGAGCCAUGAUUCAUUGUGCCCGUUUUGUAUUUGUUUCCUCUCAGUGUUGUGGUGUAAGCAUUCAAUAAAAAAUGUGGCACAUUUAAUGGGUGGAGAAAUGGCAGACCCUGGGCAGCAACAGCCAUGGGGAGGAUCUUUAAUCUCUGCUGGCACACUGCAUAUACCCAGCAACAGCUAGGAAGGUUCGGUUGUCUCAAAUUGCACUUGCAGUCAACAUUACACAUGCAAGUCUACACACAGCCCCAGCUAAAUCAAAAAUAAAAGGCGGAUCCCUUUUUGUUUUUUGCUGGAAAAUUCUGUGUCACUGGGUUGCAGCACAAGGAAAUAAAAUCUCACUCGAGGCCAGGAUUCUGCCUAGGGAAGGGCUCAGCACAGAGCCUGUCAGACACAUUUUCCUCACCUUCUGCCCUCGCAGGUGGUGGGUGCAGGCUGGCACCUUACUCCUGUCAGUUGGAGCAGAAUGAGGGCUGGAACUGGGCUUGCUGGCAGCUCAGCAGAGGAAUGCAUUCAGCAGCAGGCAGGUGAGUGUCCACAUCUAGGCAAUUAACACCCAGACAAUCCCUGUGAACGGCAUCCCAACAGGGCGAUGUAUGCUGCCGCUGGCUUUGGCUCCUUGCAAGUAGAAAAUGGGAAAGAAAAUGGGCAAAGAGGAACCUGUAUACUUUAAAGCUUAACAAAACCAGACUAUGUGAAUGACUUAUCUCCCCCAGCCUCUUGUGAUCACCUCGCUUAAGGCCAGAAAAGCCCAUCAGCCCUGAUAACCCAGCAAACAAGGACAUCCUCUCCUGAUGAAAAGGCAGCUCUUGGAGUCCCACAGGCUGCACUACAGCAUGUGGGGAACAUGAGGCCUUUGCUGCUGCUACAGAACCUGCCAGCAGCUGAAAACCACUUUGUCGGGAGGUUAAGUUCACAGUGCAACCGCAACAUCUUUAAAUAUCUGCUGCAGCAGCAGCAGCAUCUUGCUGGAAGAAAACUCCAGUCCUGUCCACGCUGCAAGCUGUAAAGUGGCUGGGCUAACACUGAGCACAGCUCAGGUGUUCCUGGGCAAGCUGUCAGGAGCACGCAGGGACACGGAGGAUGUACUUCUCCAUGAGGACCCGUAUUUCUCCACAAGGACCUGCAGUUAAUUCUUUACAAGCUCAUUUCCUGAAGGCCAGACGUCCCACAGCCACACUGCUGGAGGAGGAGAUCGUCCCUGGGUCACAGCCAGCAGCCUGGGAGCUCAGGGAUGAGCAGGAGGGAUUCCCUUGGACGAGAGAAGCGUUCUCCAGCCCAGGCCCGUGGCAAGAAACGCUUCCUUGCAGGGCUAUGUUUUAUUUCCCACACAUCCACAGUUCUUCAGACUAGCAGGGUUAGUGGUACCCACAUCUUUUGGGAUAACGUUCCUUUGGGACAACAAAGUCGGUGGCCAUCUUCUGAAGAUUCUUGGGUACACAUCUUCCACAGGAGGGGGAAUGGCUCUGUGCUGUGGCAGUGAUGGCACUUUGUCCAGCUGUCGGCAGCUGCCAUCGGUGAUAUGCAAACAGAGAUACUCUCACUGCUCUGUGCUGUAACACAAAGGGCUCACUGAAGGAUUAUUUGGGUUGGCAGCACUGCCACCAACUUAUGAAAUCCUGAAAGCACAAACAGAAAGCAGUGAAGUAACACAGUCAGGAAAACACAGAAUUUCAACACAGAAAGUGCCUCCUGCAGAGAGAGGGAAGAAGCAGCAGCUCCAGCAUCACUUUACCUGCAGCUGGUGCACGUGUCUGCAGAGAUGUAGGAGCCUGG